UCUGAUUAAUCAUUCCGCUAGCUAGCAAAAUUAACAGAAUAUUUUAAUGUAGUGUAGAUCAAAAUAAAUAAUACAUUUGUAGGUUUACUAUUAAGGUCAAGAAUGUGUGUUUUCAGUAAGGUGUGUAAUAAAUUGUGUCUAUUUAAUUACGUAACAGGUCAUGAGAUAUUAACUGUGGUGAAUUAAGACUGGGGUUGUUUCCAAUCAAUACUUACACCUUUGAGUGUAAUUAUUUGAAAAUCAUGACAGAUGAUAAUCAUACUGACUCUUACUUGCCUAUGGAAAGAACUGGAGUAAUACCAUUUCAAAUAAAAUGCUUCGCUGGGGCGCAGCUUGAUACGACCGCAGAGGUCGAACCCUGAACAGUUGGGGCAAGUAUGGACACAAAAUUCAAGCUUGAUACAGCUAUGACUUUGGAUUGUCAUUAAAUAUUUGACACAGCAUAGGUUUCUGACACAGGAUGAAUGUGGUGUAAGAACUGGAAAAAAUUUAAUUUACCUAUUAUGGUGGAAUAUCCAUAAACUAAAUUGUUUGUUAAUUUCAAUAUAUCAAAGAAUAUGUAGAAUUCAAUGUUUGAUGUAAUGUAAUAAAGUUGAAAUUUGGACCGUUUUUGUUCAAUGUGGACCAAUUUGGUAACAUGUAUAAAUAAUCAAAAAUCUAAAUACAUGGGAGCCCAUUUAAAUACAUCAUAAAGGUAUUAAAAUAGAAAGUGACAUCAUAGUCAUGACUAAAAAUAAACAAAAAUCCUUAAUCAGCAACAUUUAAAGUAAUAUCUAAAAAUUAAAUUCCUUUGUAACCAUAAAAGCCCAUUUAAAUACAUCAUAAAGAUAUUAAAAUAGAAAAUGACAUCAUAGUCAUGGCUAAACAUAGCAAAAAACCCUUAAUCAGCAUCAUUUAACAGUAAUAUCUAAAAAUAGAAAUUACAUCAUAAAGGUAUUAAAAUAGAAAAUGACAUCAUAGUCAUGGCUAAAAAUAAACAAAAUCCUUAAUCAGCAUCAGCAACAUUUUAUAGUAAUAUCUAAUAAAAUGCUUCGCUGGGGCGCAGCUUGAUACGACCGCAGAGGUCGAACCCUGAACAGUUGGGGCAAGUAUGGACACAACAUUCAAGCUUGAUACAGCUCUGAAUUUGGAUUGUUAUUAAAUAUUUGACACAGCAUAGAUUUCUGACACAGAAAGAAUGUGGUCUAAGAACUUGAAUUUUUUUAAUUUACCUAUUAUGGUCCAAUGUCCAAAAUCAAAAUACAUGGUUAGAUUCAGCAUAUCAAAGAACCCCAUAUAUUCAAUUUUUGUUGCAAUCAAACAAAGUUUAAUUUUGGACCCCAAAUUGGACAAACUUGAAAACUGGGCCAAUAAUCAAAAAUCUAAACACAUGUUUAGAUUCAGCAUAUCAAAGUACCCCAAGAAUUCAAUUUUUGUUAAACUCAAACUAAGUUUAAUUUUGGACCCUUUGGACCUUAAUGUAGACCAAUUUAAAAAACGGGACCCAAAAUUAAAAAUCUAAAUAUACGGUUAGAUUUGGAAUGUCAAAGAACCCCAAUAAUUCAAUUUUUGAUGAAAUCAAACAAAGUUUAAUUUUGGACCCUUUUGACCUCAAUAUGAACCAAUUUGAUAGCGGGGUCCACAAAUAAAAAAUCUAAAUACAUGGUUAGAUUCAGCAUAUCAAAGAACCCCAUAUAUUCAAUUUUUGUUGAAAUAAAAAAAGUUUAAUUUUGGACCCCAACUUGGACCAACUUGAAAACUGGGCCCAUAAUCAAAAAUCUACACAUGUUUAGAUUCAGCAUAUCAAAGAACCCCAAGAAUUCAAUUUUUGUUAAAAUCAAACUAAGUUUAAUUUUGGACCCUUUGGACCUUAAUGUAGACCAAUAUAAAAAACGGGACCCAAAAUUAAAAAUCUAAAACACGGUUAGAUUUGGCAUAUCAAAGAACCCCAAUAAUUCAAUUUUUGAUGAAAUCAAACAAAGUUUAAUUUUGGACCCUUUUGACCUCAAUAUGAACCAAUUUGAUAGCGGGCCCACAAAUAAAAAAUCUAAAUACAUGGUUAGAUUCAGCAUAUCAAAGAACCCCAUAUAUUCAAUUUUUGUUGAAAUCAAACAAAGUUUAAUUUUGGACCCCAAUUUGGACCAACUUGAAAACUGGGCCAAAAAUCUAAAAUCUAAAUACAUGUUUAGAUUCAGCAUAUCAAAGAACCCCAUAUAUUCAAUUUUUGUUGAAAUCAAACAAAGUUUAAUUUUGAACCCCAACUUGGACCAACUUGAAAACUGGGCCCAUAAUCAAAAAUCUAAACACAUGUUUAGAUUCAGCAUAUCAAAGAACCCCAAUAAUUCAAUUUUUGUUAAAAUCAAACUAAGUUUAAUUUUGGACCCUUUGGACCUUAAUGUAGACCAAUUUAAAAAACAGGACCCAAAAUUAAAAAUCUAAAUACACGGUUAGAUUUGACAUAUCAAAGAACCCCAAUAGUUCAAUUUUUGAUGAAAUCAAACGAAGUUUAAUUUUGGACCCUUUUGACCUCAAUAUGAACCAAUUUGAUAGCGGGGUCCACAAAUAAAAAAUAUAAAUACAUGGUUAGAUUCAGCAUAUGAAAGAACCCCAUAUAUUCAAUUUUUGUUGAAAUCAAACAAAGUUUAAUUUUGGACCCCAACUUGGACCAACUUGAAAACUGGGCCCAUAAUCAGAAA